GCAUAUCAAUAAGCGGAGGAAAAGAAACUAACAAGGAUUCCCUUAGUAACGGCGAGUGAAGAGGGAAGAGCUCAAAUUUUAAAUCUAUCAUGUUUGUACAUGAUCGAAUUGUAAUUUGAAGAAGCGUUUUCUCGUACUUUAUGCAAUCAGUAUAAGUUCUCUUGGAACAGGACAUCAUAGAGGGUGAGAAUCCCGUCUCUGACAUGGACCUCCCGGGGCAUCGCGAUGGCGCUCUCAAAGAGUCGAGUUGUUUGGGAAUGCAGCUCCAAAUGGGUGGUAAAUUCCAUCUAAAGCUAAACAUUGGCGAGAGACCGAUAGCGAACAAGUACCGUGAGGGAAAGAUGAAAAGAACUUUGAAAAGAGAGUUAAAAAGUAUGUGAAAUUGUUGAAAGGGAAACGAUUGAAGUCAGUCGUGCAGUCAUCAAUUCAGCGGUUAACAUUUUAUGUUUCCGUGUAAUUUGGUGUCUGUUGGUUAGCAUCAAUUUUGAUUGUUAUAAAAAGGUUAAGGGGAUGUGGCUCCUUCGGGAGUGUUAUAACCCUUAGCGUAAUGUGACGAUUAGGAUUGAGGUUUGCAACGAAUACCUUUUAGGGCAGUUUCCCUGGCCUCUCGUGGAAUUAUAGAUAGUUAAGAGCAUGCUUCUUACUGUCUAUGAUUCUACGAAAAGGUUAGUGUAAAACUAAUUCGUUAAGGAUGUUGACGUA
rnacentral:rRNA from 1 species